rnacentral:rRNA from 1 species
AAACCAGCACCUCAAGUGGUCAGGAUGAUUAUUGGGCCUAAAGCAUCCGUAGCCGGCUCUGUAAGUUUUCGGUUAAAUCUGUACGCUCAACGUACAGGCUGCCGGGAAUACUGCAGAGCUAGGGAGUGGGAGAGGUAGACGGUACUCGGGAGGAAGUGGUAAAAUGCUUUGAUCUCUCGAUGACCACCUGUGGCGAAGGCGGUCUACCAGAACACGUCCGACGGUGAGGGAUGAAAGCUGGGGGAGCAAACCGGAUUAGAAACCCCAGUAGUCC